GGGCAUGUGCCCUUGACUGGAAUCAAACCCAGGACCCUUCACUCCACAGGCGGAUGCUCUUUCUGCUGAGCCUAACCAGCUGGGCAUGUGCUGGAAGUU